AUGUUGACGUAGAAAAGGAGUAGUAGUCAUAUUUUGGGAAUUUAGAGAGCUGACGGAUGGUGCAAGUCAGUCGAACAAGUAUGAUGAACUCGCCUUGGAGUUUUUGAAAGGAAACUUUCAACGGGUCACGGACGUUACACGUGAAGAGCGAAUGAUGUAAUCAUUAAUGUGGGUGGUACCGCGGGAAGUAUAACAAAACUCUCGUCCCUAAC
rnacentral:ncRNA from 1 species